CCUACGGGAGGCAGCAGUGGGGCAUCUUGCACACCGGGGGAAACCCUGACGCCUCUCCUCCUCUUUCUUUCCUCCUUCUUUCUUUCUUUCCCUCUCUCUCCUCCUUGAAGAAAAUGACGGUACCUGAUUAAGAAGCCCCGGCUAACUACGUGCCAGUAGCCGCGGUAAUACGUAGGGGGCAAGCGUUAUCCGGAUUUACUGGGUGUAAAGGGAGCGUAGACGGCAGCACAAGUCUGGAGUGAAAUGCCGGGGCUUAACCCCGGAACUGCUUUGGAAACUGUGCAGCUAGAGUGCAGGAGAGGUAAGUGGAAUUCCUAGUGUAGCGGUGAAAUGCGUAGAUAUUAGGAGGAACACCAGUGGCGAAGGCGGCUUACUGGACUGUAACUGACGUUGAGGCUCGAAAGCGUGGGGAGCAAACAGGAUUAGAUACCCGAGUAGUC
rnacentral:rRNA from 1 species